GAUGAACGCUGGCGGCGUGCUUAACACAUGCAAGUCGAACGAAGCACUUUGGAAGCUUGCUUUUAGAGUGACUGAGUGGCGGACGGGUGAGUAACGCGUGGGUAACCUGCCUUAUACAGGGGGAUAACAGUUGGAAACGACUGCUAAUACCGCAUAAGCGCACAGUGCCGCAUGGCACAGGGUGAAAAACUCCGGUGGUACAGGAUGGACCCGCGUCUGAUUAGCUAGUUGGUAAGGUAACGGCUUACCAAGGCGACGAUCAGUAGCCGACCUGAGAGGGUGAUCGGCCACAUUGGAACUGAGACACGGUCCAAACUCCUACGGGAGGCAGCAGUGGGGAAUAUUGCACAAUGGGCGAAAGCCUGAUGCAGCAACGCCGCGUGAGCGAUGAAGGCCUUCGGGUCGUAAAGCUCUGUCACCGGAGAAGAUAAUGACGGUAUCCGGAGAAGAAGCCCCGGCUAACUUCGUGCCAGCAGCCGCCGUAAUAC
rnacentral:rRNA from 1 species